rnacentral:lncRNA from 10 species
CUUUCUUGUAGUUUGGAGACCUAAUAGACCCCGAGGCUUGGUGGGUGGUUCUCUCCUGCUAACUUCUAAAGUUGAAGCUAAGGGGAUCAUUAUUUAUCUGGAGACUAUAAGGCUGUGCUGUCCAGUAUGGUAGUCACCAGCCUCAUGUGGCUGUUGAGAACUUGAAAUGUGGCUAGUCCGGAUCGAGAUGUGCUAAGGAGACAUGCAUACAAGGAGAAUGCCAGGUGAACGUGAAGACCAUCAUUUGCAAGCCAAGAGAGGCCUGGAGCAGAUCCUUCAGAGCCCUCAGAAGGGACCAACCCUGCUGGCACCUUGAUUUUGGACUUCCAGCCUCCAGAACUAAGAACUUGAUGUAUACCUCCUGACCUGUUCAUCUUGUAGCUGCCUCUUGACAGGUUGCUGACUUCGCCUGGAGGGACUCUAUCAGAUGGAAUCUCCCUCUGUCAUCCCGGCUGGAGUGCAAUGGUGCGUUCUUGGCUCACUGCAACCUCUAUCUCGCAGGCUCAAGUAAUCCUCCCACUUCAGCCUAUUGAGUAACUGGGACCACAGGUGCACACCAUCAUGCCAGGAGAAACAAAUGCCAAACAGUGAAGGUCAAGAAGGCCAUAGUGAUAUAUGCAAGUUCAAAAAGUGGAAGAAGCUUUUACACAGAGAAAUAUCAAUCAGCCAGCUUUUCAUGGCUGAUGCCUGAAAAUAUCAUCCACCUGUGUCUCUGAGCAUACUUUGGCUUUGACUCCUAGUGAUAUUACAUGUAAUGUCAUGGCUAGAUAUUUCAAUUUCAGAAACAAAUGAUUCCACUGAAUAGUAAGACAUUUGCCAACUGGACAAUAAUUCAUAAGGAGAGGGUUCAGAAACUGUAAGUUUUAUUAUGAAAAGGUAAGGAAAUCCAACCCUAGAUGGAGGUAACUUGGAAAGAAUGAUUGGUUAUUUUGUAUAACUCUAAAGGGCAUAACUAGGACUAACAAGUCAAAGCUUUCAGGAAGAAAAUUUCUAUAUAAUGUGCAGAAAUUUCAAACAGUUGAUCAGUUGCUUUUGUUAUUAUUGUUAGAGACAGGAUCUCACUAUGUUGCCCAGGCUUGAUUCUAACCUCCCCCACUGCCAACCCCCCGGCUCAAGCAAUCCUACUGCCUUAGCCUCUUGAGUAGCUGGGACUACGGGCACACACACACACACCACUGCACCAGGUAAAUUUCUAACAACUCAAAGUGUUAUAAAGGAAUAGGUCGCCUAGUAGCAUGGUCAGCGGUGUCUGUAAGACUUCUCGUCAGUCAGGCUGCGGUAUGGGAUUGAAGUGGAAGAUCACUAAGAAAUGGAGGGAAUGAAUUUCAGAAUGGGUGGGGGGUUUCAGGGUGUUGGGUCAAUAGCUGUCUUAUCAAUGGAGCUGAGAAUGAAAACCUAGGAAAAGUGACACUGGCUCUAGAAGGGAACUGGGCCAUCUGCCUUAUAGACCAUCUGCUAAUUUGUUGCUCAUUUAUUGGUGAAACUUGGGAAGGUAAUGGAUAUGUAUGAGCUCUCUCAGAACUUGCCUUGUUGCCUAAUGGAUAUCUUUGACUUUUCCAACUCCAAGUAUCUGUAAAAGUUCCUAAUUUCCUCAUAGACUUGUAAAACCACUCAAACCCACCAGGCCCUUAUUCUGUUUCCAAGAUCACCUUUCAGGUGUCACCGUGUUGACAAGUUAUUUGGAGCUCUAUUGACCUUGUCUCAUUAUUGGAACUUUUCUAAUAUCUUGAAUGCAGAUGGAAGGAAAGGAGACAAUAACAACAAAAAAUAAAACUGCAACAGCAUGAUUUAUUAUAGUAUAUAUUUCUCAGAAGAGACAAAAACAGCAUCAAUGAAGAGCAAUCAUAGAAGGUUCACAGUUGCCUCAGAACCAAUUCAACAAUUCAUAGGGGGUUGGCAUCACAUAAACAGCUGGGAAAAAGCAGUUAAAUGAUUUUCUACAUGCUCUUAGGGAGAGACUGUGUCUAAUCUGAUGCAGUUGCUCCAAAGGAGCGCAGCUAAUGACAUCUACACCAAAUAUCAGUUCAAUAAAUUGCUUCCUUUCAUUAAUCUGAGUGUCGGUGUCUGCAUUAACGGUGUUAACACAGCAGAAGGUCUAAAGGAGAGAUAAUAAGGACCUGUUUUUAGUGACAUGUGGGGGCGGCCCUGUGAAAACAAGCAAAUAUAUAACUGGUCCCUUGACUCUGGUGAAUCAAAACCAUUUCAUUUAUUCAUUCUGUCACUCCAAAAUUAUUCUUUGAGUGACUACUAUGUGCCUGGUCCUGGGCUAUGUCCUCAUGUACCAAUGGACAAAGGGCCUUCAGGGAGCUUAUAGUAGGUGGGGAGGAGGCAGAAGUCAUCACCUGCAUACAUAAUUGACUGUGAUGAGGGAUAAGAAGGGAAAGUAUGCAUUACUUUGAAAAAAUGCAACAGGGGAAUACCUUUAGAUGGAGACUGACCAUCUUUCUAGAAAAAUCAGGGCUUUAGGCUAGAAGAGCUUGUAGUGUAUGGGCGAUUAUGACUCCUCUGGGAGUCUAGGCGUACAUGAACAGUGUGCGUUUACUAUCAAAUCUGUAUGUGACUAUGUUUUGCAGUGGGCAGGCCUAAACAAACUUACCCCCCUCCCUCCCCAAGGCCAAGGAAGCUGAGAGGCCAAAGAUAAAAGCUAACAUAUCCAGUCUCUUAGAAAUAAGCAUUCAAUAGGGACUUGGCAAACAGAAGCCAUGUCUCUAUCUCAGGUGGCAGUGAGACAAGAUGGUGGAUCCCUACACCAUUACCCCUCAGACGCAGGGCUUAUAUGGUAUAGGGAAAGGGUGAUUCAGAAAGGAUGCAUAGGACAAUUGAAGUGCGAUAACAUCAAGACUGUUUGGCUUAAGGGCAGGAUUUACAGUAAGUAUCUGUUCUUACACAAGGAGCAAUAGAUAAACUGGAAAUUGUAGAGGCCUUCCCAGAGCUGGAUUUAAUCAGAAGCCAACAUGGAAGAUGAGCAUCCAAGAUGGAGUUGCUUUGGUCUCCACAAACUGUAUUGGGAAAAUACAACUUUCCUUACCCUGAUUAUUAUACAUUAUGGUUAGGUGCUUAUAAAUGAAGAUAAUGACCAUUUCUGUAAUCGGCAAUGUACUGUAAAUGAGAUGGAAGCACAGUGUAUCUCUGGGCAAGGUGUGUAAUAGUAAGGCCUUCCCUUUCCUUCCACCCUCAAGGCUUGGGUGGAUUAAGAAUCUCUGGUCACUAUGGCACCUUAUGACCAUUGAUGAGCAUCACUUCAAGAAAGAACUAGGACUGUCUCUGGACAGAGCAUUUUUUCUUUGAACUCUGGUGUCUGUGAGCUGGCUCACCUGAUUCGGGCGCUCUGUGGCUUCCAAGAUUCAUCUUGAGAAUCACAUCAAAAGUCCUGAAACUGACUGACCAUCAGGGGAUGCAGAAGAGAGAAGGGUGCCCUGGCUAAGCACUGGCUGCAAUGCUGGUCCAAGGGGGAGAAACUACAUGGCCAAGAAAAUGCAGCUCACUCGUGGGAAUGUCAUAGCACCUGGAGGAACUCAUAAAAUAGCAUAGGAAUAUGCCUAUACCAUUUCUGCUUCUAUUUCAUUGAGGGAGUGAAUAUGAUAAGAUGUCAUCAGGUGACUGAAUGUAUCGUUAGCAUUCUCCUCCUUAUUGAUUACAUUUAUUGAAAUCUUGUAUGUCAGGCACUGUUUUAAGCUCUGUCAUCCAUCUGUCUGUCUAAAACCUCAUUAAAUUGUCACAACUGAUUGCCAAAUGUAACUCUUCAAAACAGGAAUAUUCUAAUUUAUUUUUCUUAUAACUGGGAAGAUAUUUUUAAGUUUCCAAAAAGAAAGAGUUAAUGUUUUUAAUAAAAGGUGUUCCCAUUCCCUG